AACGCUGGCGGCGUGCUUAACACAUGCAAGUCGAACGGAAAGGCCCUGCUUUUGUGGGGUGCUCGAGUGGCGAACGGGUGAGUAACACGUGAGUAACCUGCCCUUGACUUUGGGAUAACUUCAGGAAACUGGGGCUAAUACCGGAUAGGAGCUCCUGCUGCAUGGUGGGGGUUGGAAAGUUUCGGCGGUUGGGGAUGGACUCGCGGCUUAUCAGCUUGUUGGUGGGGUAGUGGCUUACCAAGGCUUUGACGGGUAGCCGGCCUGAGAGGGUGACCGGCCACAUUGGGACUGGGAUACGGCCCAGACUCCUACGGGAGGCAGCAGUGGGGAAUAUUGCACAAUGGGCGGAAGCCUGAUGCAGCAACGCCGCGUGCGGGAUGACGGCCUUCGAGUUGUAAACCGCUUUCGCCUGUGACGAAGCGUGAGUGACGGUAAUGGGUAAAGAAGCACCGGCUAACUACGU
rnacentral:rRNA from 1 species